ACGACCAUAGGGUGUGGAAAACAGGGCUUCCCGUCCGCUCAGCCGUACUUAAGCCACACGCCGGCCGGUUAGUAGUUGGGUGGGUGACCACCAGUGAAUCCCGGCUGUUGUAUGUU
rnacentral:rRNA from 1 species